CCUACGGGAGGCAGCAGUGGGGAAUUUUCCGCAAUGGGCGCAAGCCUGACGGAGCGACGUCGCGUGGGCGAAGAAGGCCUUCGGGUUGUAAAGCCCUGUCCUAUGGGAAGAAGACAGUGACGGUACCAUAGGAGGAAGCCACGGCUAACUACGUGCCAGCAGCCGCGGUAAUACGUAGGUGGCAAGCGUUGUCCGGAAUUACUGGGCGUAAAGGGCACGCAGGCGGAUAUUUAAGUCAGAUGUGUAAUCUAUAGGCUUAACCUAUAGCUUGGGUCUGAAACUGGAUAUCUUGAGGGUAGGAGAGGACAGUGGAAUUCCUAGUGUAGCGGUGAAAUGCGUAGAUAUUAGGAGGAACACCAGUGGCGAAGGCGGCUGUCUGGCUUACCACUGACGCUGAGGUGCGAAAGCGCGGGUAGCAAACAGGAUUAGAUACCCUGGUAGUC
rnacentral:rRNA from 1 species